rnacentral:rRNA from 1 species
GACGAACGCUGGCGGCGUGCUUAACACAUGCAAGUCGAACGGAAAGGCCCUGCUUUUGUGGGGUGCUCGAGUGGCGAACGGGUGAGUAACACGUGAGUAACCUGCCCUUGACUUUGGGAUAACUUCAGGAAACUGGGGCUAAUACCGGAUAGGAGCUCCUGCUGCAUGGUGGGGGUUGGAAAGUUUCGGCGGUUGGGGAUGGACUCGCGGCUUAUUAGCUUGUUGGUGGGGUGAUGGCCUACCAAGGCGGUGACGGGUAGCCGGCCUGAGAGGGUGGACGGUCACACUGGGACUGAGACACGGCCCAGACUCGUACGGGAGGCAGCAGUGGGGAAUAUUGCACAAUGGGCGCAAGCCUGAUGCAGCGACGCCGCGUGAGGGAUGGAGGCCUUCGGGUUGUGAACCUCUUUCGCCAGUGAAGCAGGCCUGCCUCGUUUGUGGGUGGGUUGACGGUAGCUGGAUAAGAAGCGCCGGCUAACUACGUG